rnacentral:rRNA from 1 species
UACGUAGGGGGCAAGCGUUAUCCGGAUUUACUGGGUGUAAAGGGAGCGUAGACGGAAAGGCAAGUCAGAAGUGAAAGCCCAAGGCUCAACCAUGGGACUGCUUUUGAAACUGUCAAACUAGAGUACGGGAGAGGUAAGAGGAAUUCCUAGUGUAGCGGUGAAAUGCGUAGAUAUUAGGAGGCACACCAGUGGCGAAGGCGUCUUACUGGACCGAAACUGACGUUGAGGCUCGAAAGCGUGGGGAGCAAACAGG